GACGAACGCUGGCGGCGUGCUUAACACAUGCAAGUGGAGCGGCGAACCAGGCUUCGGCCAGGGGCAAAGCCGCGAACGGGUGAGUAACACGUGGGUAACCUGCCCCAAUGACCGGGACAACUCGGGGAAACUCGAGCUAAUACCGGAUGUGCCUCCCUCACACCAGUGAGGGAUGGAAAGGAAGCUUCGGCCUCCGCAUUGGGAUGGGCCCGCGGCCCAUUAGCUUGUUGGUGAGGUAACGGCUCACCAAGGCAUCGAUGGGUAGCUGGUCUGAGAGGACGAUCAGCCACACUGGGACUGAGACACGGCCCAGACUCCUACGGGAGGCAGCAGUGGGGAAUCUUGCGCAAUGCGCGAAA
rnacentral:rRNA from 1 species